UCUUUAUCAGCUGUACCACGUACAUGAUGUGCAAGAGGACUGGGGCUCUGUGUCAAGGCCAGCUGGGAUGCUGAAGUUUUGUGUUAGGACCAAGGGUGAGCCUGAUGGCCGUUCUGGUUUGCCCUGCUCCAUGCCAUGUCCUAAAGCUGGAAACCAACAGCCCUACCUGGCUUCCAUUUAAAGAAGUUACUUAUUGGUGUUUGAAAAAGAAGGAAAAAAA